CAAAAGCAGCCAUAGACAACAUGUAAAUGGAUGUGUGCAGCUGUGUGCCAAUAAAACUUUAUUAAUGAAAACUGAAUGAAUUUUAGGUAAGUUUACAUGUCACCAAAUAUUAUCCUUCUUUUACAUUUUUCUAACCAUUAAAAAUGGAAAAAACAUUCUUCUCUCUUGGGCCCUGCAAAAAUAGAGAGUAUGGCUGGAUAUGGCCUGAAGUCUGUAGUUUGGUCCACCCUGGGCCUGGAUCCUUCUCUAAUUCACAUUCAUAUUUUCUAAGAGAGAGGAUAUAUAUUGGUUUAGCCAAUGAUAAGCUUUAGGGUCUUGGGCUCUGAGACUGACUGGCUUGAGUUUGAAUUCCAGAUUCCAGUAUUUAUCAGCUGCAUAAAUUAAAGCACGUCAUUCAAGUUUUCUUAUGUAAAAUGAAGAUAGUGUUAAUACGUAAUUCUCUAGGUUGGUGCCAGAAUCAAACAAGACACAAUGGUGUUCAAGUGCUUAGCUUGGCACAUAGUAAACACUCAGUAGGUAUUAGCAGGGACCAUGGUGAUGACAUUCAGAACCCUCGAACAGGACCAACCUGAGUAAAGGAGGCCCAGGAGAGAAGCAUCUUGGUCUAUUUUGUUUAUUGCUGUAAUAUGUGGCAUUAGGGACUUAAUAAGUGUCUAUUGAAUGAAUCUUUACAUCCUUAACUUUAUUAACUGUGAGUAGAGAAGACAUGUGACAGAGUGACCUAGAUAUGUGGAAUUCUAGGUUCUCACUUUCUGAGAAGGGGUAUGUGGGCAGGGCCGGUUUCCAAACCAUCAAUUUCUGGUCUAUAAUCAUGGCUAAUAUUCAUAGGUUGUUUAAUAUAAUGAGGAAGAAAGAAAAAACAUUUCCAAGCAUGGAGCCUAGGGAGGUAGAGAACGGUACAGUUGUUGACAUUGAGAUCAGGAAGUUGUUUUAGGAAGAGACGCAACAGGGAGAGAGAAAGCUGCUCUAGGGGCUUUUUCGUUUUAAAAUCUUUUCAUUGUAAAGUAAAACAGAGACAUGGAAAACACACAAGUCAAAUGCAUGGCUCAAUAAAUUAUCACAAGACAAACACCAUCCAGGUCAAGAAAUGGAUCACUUUCUAACAGAUCUGUCCUGGUCAUAAGCCCUCCCCUCCUUACUCAUAAGCCAUGAGUAACUACUACCUUGACUUUUAUAGUAACCUCUUCUUGAGUUUUUCCUCUCACCGUUUUAUCACCCCAAUGUACAUUCCUAGAAGUACUAGCUUACUCCUGCCCAUUAAAAUUUUUGAAAUGUCUUUUAAGUCCUCCCCACCUUUUUGUCUUUAUGGGGCCACACCUACGGCAUAUGAAAGUUCUCAGGCUAAGGGUCAAAUCAGAGCUACAGCAGCCGGCCUACACCACAGCCACAGAAACGUGGGAUCUGAGCCGCCUCUGCGACCUACACCACAGCUCACAGCAACUCUGGGUCUUAAUCCACUGAUGGAGGCCAGGGAUUGAACCUGCAUCCUCAUGGGUACUAGUCAGAUUCUUUACCACUGAGCCACGACGGGAACUCCUAUCUCUCUUUCAAUCUAUAGAUUUCUCCCAGAAGAGCUUGGGCUGUUUAACCUGCAGCGUCUCCCAUAGUCUGCAUUCCACUGACAUGAUGUGCUUGGUUAACAAACCUGACUAGCAUCCAUGAGGACUUGGGUUCAAUCCCUGGCCUCGCUCGGUAGGUUAAGGAUCUGGCAUUGCCAUGAACUAUGGUGUAGGUUGCAGAGGCAGCUGGGAUCCUGUGUUGCUGUGGCUCUGGUGUAGGCCAGCGGGUAGACCCCUAGCCUAGAAUCUCCAUAUGCCGCAGGUGCUGCCCUAAAAAAACAAAACAAAACAAACAAAAAAACUAUAUCAUUAUAAACUCAUGAAUUGGUUUAAUGUGUCUUGGCUUAAUGCAUGGCAGUGAUUAUGGUUAUUGAAAUUCAAUUUGGCCUUUGGCUAGUAGAAUCCUGGCUAUUGAAUCCUUUUGACAAGACUUAGGAGUUUUCAGUAGCUUCUUUGCUACUUUCUAGUAUAAUACAAGACAUUCCAGGUUUAUCUUAUGUAUUUCUUGCCCCCAGACAUGGAAUCCUAGUUUCUUUUAGCAAGAGAAAAUAUUCAAGGUAUAAACUGUUAAGGGUUGGUCAUUGCUACUAGGUUGACCAUUGUUUCUAGCCCUGUUAAGUGUAAAGUGCUAGGAAACAUAUACACACAUUUAAAGAUAAAAUAGUUCAUGAAUUCCUAUUUAUAUUUUAAUUCAAGCUUAAGAUUACCAAACUUUUACUCAACUUUUCUAUUAUAUCAGUAUCUUUUCCUUUUCCCUCAUUAUACCUUCUUCUUUUUUUAAAUACCUUGAAUUUUAAUUCUUAAGGAAUAAAAAGUCACCAGAAUUAGAAAAUCCCAUGAUGAUGUAUCUGUUUUUAUCUCAUACCAAACCCACAACAAUAUCAUACAUACUAUUUGUAACAGUACAAAUAUCACCUCCAGUAUGACAGCUGACAAUUUAUAAAAAGGUUUUUCAUAUAUGUGAUCCCCAUUCCCACCCCCAGUUUUUAAUCGUCAUAUUGUAUCUACACUGUCAGAGCACAUAACCAUUACUUAAUAGACUCUCUGCCUUUUUAACCCUCAUUUCCUCUUAUUUUUACAGGCAAAUAUAUAUUUAAUGCUCACCACCAGUUCUUAGGCUAAUGUCUCUCUAGGUAUAAGCUCAGUCUCUACUAGAUUAUCCCGGAAGGGCUCAUGGCAACCAUAUUCCCAGAGGUCUUGCAUGUUAAUCACAGCUCAACUGUCCUCUCUAUACUUGAAAUCAGGUUUGUUAGAUAUCAAAUCCUUGCCUCACACUUUCUUUUCCUUGAGUAUGUUAAUAUGUCACUCUAUUUCCUUCUGGCAGAGAACACUGCUGUUGAAAAGUCUGAUAAUAAUCUAAUUUCCUUAUAAGUCAUGAACUUUUUUUCCCCUAAAAUGCCCCCCAAUUUUUCCUCAACACCUACAGUCCAGUAAUUUUAUAAGAUCAUAUCUUGACAUUGGUCAUUCGGGAUUCUCAGGAAUGCAGAGCACACUUUCAGAAUGUAGCUUUAAAUCGUUAUUUUAGAGAACACUUUUGAGCUACAGUUUUUAGUAUUUAUUCUGUUUUCCUGUUUUGAUUUUCUUCUUCAGAAACUCCAAUGAAUCACUUGAUUUCCUUUUCUUUCCCUCAAUAUUGAUCAUUUUCUCUUGACUCCCUUUUGCCUCUUCAUUUCCUUUUUGCCGUUUAAAAAUUCUUCUUUUCUGCUUUCUACUUCUCUUGAGACAUUACCUACUCUGUCUAUAAGCUCUGGUGUCCCGUCUGGUUUAGUCUUCAUUUCUAAAGUGAUUUUUACUUUAAUUUAUAAAUCUUUCCUGAAGUCUCUCACUUCACCUCUGAGAUUUUCUACCUCUGAUUCAUGUCGCAUUUUCAGGUAUUGUAUCAUUUUCUUAAAUGUUUUCUUAAUGUUUUUUAGCUUGUUUUAAAAUAGUAGGCUGCUGAUUUGAUCUUUUUUGAGGACACAUCUUUCUGGUGUGCUUUCCUUGUCUGUUGUGAUGUUAUUCUUCUACUUGGUUUCUUCUUUUUCUCAUCAUGACAUUGUAUGGGCCGUGACCUCAAUACUUUUCUGUUGUUCAUUUCUAUAUGAAAUUAGUUUUCUUGAACUGUAAGAAUGAGGCUGGAUUCAGGGUAGCUUUUCUAAUUUCACAGAGCCCCCUCUUCUGUUGGUUUUCUAUAAAAGUCUCUGAGAUUUCCUGGCUCUCUUCUCCUAGUACCUUUGCUCUGGACUUGCUCUUGACUUUGUCACCCUGUCCCCAAUGUCCUACUCACUGUUGCUUCCACUCCCAGCUCUUUCUACACUGCAGGGGGCCAAAGGUUGCACCACAACUUCUGUGGGCCCUAGACACUGGUGGAUUCCUUCCUACCACUAAAAAUGUUAAAAAUUAUAUUUUACAACUGCACUGAUAUUAAAAUAAAUAUAUCAAAACAUUUUCUUCGACCUGAAAGUGUAUUUUUCUCCCUUUUUAUUUUAUUUUUUUAUUUUUUACUUUUUUAGGGCUGCACCUGUGGCAUAUGGAAGUUCCCAGGCUAGGGGUCAAAUCAGAGCUGCAGCUGCUGGCCUAUGCUACUGCUUCACAAGAUCCUAGCUGUGUCUUCAAUCUACACCUCAGCUCAUGGCAACACCAGAUCCUUAACCCACUGAGCGAGGCCAGGGAUUUAACCCCCAUCUCAUGGAUCCUAGUUGAGCUCAUUACUGCUGAGCCAAGAUGGGAACUCCCUC
rnacentral:lncRNA from 1 species